UCAUCAUCCUUUUCCCAUCCUAGAUACGUGCAUUAUCUGGACGAUUACAUGGCGCGCAAAAUAUCUAUUUCGGGCAGAUCUAUUUUCCUGAAACACAUUGUGGUUCAUGUCACACCAAAUUACGAUGGCAAGGGAGGAUGUCGUCCAUUCUUUUCCAUUUAUCAAGAAUUUAACCUUGUAUACGAAACGAAUGUCUAGUAAGUUCAACUGACGUGUGAAGUCCUGUCCGAGGCUCUGAUCAUAAAUAUUUUGUCCUUAGAGGUUCCUCAUACAGAGUUAUGUCUAGUAAGGCAAGCGUGGUGACGACUACACCCUAAGUGCUGGUUAACUAUACUUCAGGGGUGUAUAUUCUUCUAUAAUUCCCCCCCCCCCCCUCUGGGGUGGGGGAAAAGAAUCAAAGGGUCUUAGGGCUAGGGAAGAAAAAGGUGUUAGGGCUAGGGGAAAAAGUAGAAAAAAUGGAAAGGCAGAGGGAAAAGAAGAGAAAAAUUUCCGCGGGUUUUUUAAGUUUAGAUAUAGGUAAUGAGAACCAUAUUGGUGCCCUAGUAAUAAAUUUAUGCCACAAUAGUCCCUAAAUGUUAGAUCAAAAAUGUAGUGUGAAAUAUUGAUAGUGUGAUGGCCUCGUGUUGUUCGCACAAUGUAUGCUUGUGAAAAAAUGUUGUAUUUAAUAAAACUGAGAAUAAAAGAUAAAAAACUCACUUGUAUAUGUAUAAAUGUGAACCUAAGAAAUAUAAGUGUAGGUGUAGACUUGUGGAACAUAAAACUGGAGAUGCGUGUGUGAAAUUGUAACGGAAAAUAUCCUGUUCUGUGGAACACCGCGGAAAAACGUCUGCGCAUGCGUCAACCUUACCUGUAAUAGUAUUGCGAACUUGAUGAGAAGCUGUUCCGAACGUUUCCGAAGGCUCAAAAUGGCGGUAAAAAGGAGUGACUUCAUUGUGCGUCUUUACAGCCAGAUUUCGAGCGCAAAAAUAAACAUGUCAUUCUAAAAACUAGGAAUAAAUACAACCAGAAGGUUCAAGAAGUUGUAUUGUACAAGAACAUGAACUAAAGG